rnacentral:rRNA from 1 species
UACAGAGGUCCCAAGCGUUGUUCGGAUUCACUGGGCGUAAAGGGUGCGUAGGCGGUCGGGUAAGUCUGGCGUGAAAUCUCCAAGCCUAACUUGGAAACUGCGUUGGAUACUAUCCGGCUCGAGGAAUGGAGGGGAGACUGGAAUACUUGGUGUAGCAGUGAAAUGCGUAGAUAUCAAGUGGAACACCAGGGGCGAAGGCGAGUCUCUGGACAUUUCCUGACGCUGAGGCACGAAAGCCAGGGGAGCAAACGGG